AUCGAGAAACAACUAAUUGCGGACUUUGUAUUUAGUAUCAGUCGGUAUUCGAGUGAUACCCGAGCAUCAAGACUACAAGUUCAGCAAAAACAAUGAUAAUGAACGACAGAUUUUGCUCGUGAGUUAGCUUAUUAAUCAUCAUCAUCACCCAAGUUCAAUGUCCCGCAUUCGAUCCAUUUAUUAUCUUUGUGUGUGUGUGUGUAUGUGUGAUUCUCUUUUAGACAGGAUGGAUGCGGACGUUAAUAACACGUCUGGGACAUUUGUGUGUGCGUGUACGUGUUUGUCACAGCGUGCUUAUGUGCACAAGUAUUUGAGAUUAGAUGUGUAAUUUGUGUGUAUAUAUAUAUUUAUACAUUCAUGUAUAUUGUUUGGGAUAUGUGAAUCAGUGUCUGCAUGAAAGCACGUGUAUGAGAGGGUGUGUGUGUGUGUGUACGUGUAAGAUAUCGAUAUAAAACUUGAGUCUAACAUGUUAGAUAAAUUUGAAACCCAUAUUUGGAUAGUCCUAUGCGUGCACACCUCGAUACACACGUAUACAUACAUACAGGCACAUGUACGUAUAUGCAUACACAUACAUAUGUACGUACAUACAUACAUGCAUGCACAUCAUACAUACAUAUAUAUACAUACGUACGUACGUACAUACAAGUUAAAACCCACUAGUGUGUUUACGUAAGCUAUGUGCCACGUUCUCUAUGGCCCUGUGCCACGUUCUCUAACUAAAUUAUAAAUAUAAUCUUACGCACGCUAUGUUGCUCUCUCUCUCCCUCGUCGCUCUUUCUCUCACUCUAUCACAAACAUAUACAUACGCACACAUCUUCAGAUACAUACAUACAUACAACAUCCAUCCAUCCAUACACACACACACACAUUUCAUGCGCCAACUUUCUUCAGGUAAGUGAGUGGGGGCGGAGAUGUCUGUGUACCAUUUUUUAACAUACUCUUUUUUUUAUUAUUAUUGUCAAGGUUAAGAUAGUACGAUAUCUGAGAACUAGUGAUGGCGAGGUCAGCGGUGGCGUUCUCGAGAAAACUUUGACAAUGAAAAUCAACUAGCUGCUCUUGUCUUGAAGACUUUCAACUCGGGAUGGGUUUAUGGCUAUCUUCUGGAGAUCCUCGACCUGACCGUGCUACAAACGGUUGUUUGCUCGUUCGAAAUAAACUCUGCACAGGCAGCAGUUUCGACAGACAGGCCUGCUUUGAGAUGUGUGCAAAACGAUAAAACUGCUCUGCAAGUCUUCGUUCAGUUUCUAAGCAUUACUAACUUUGCAGUGUUUCGUCGAUCACCUGCUGUUGCGGAUAGGAUGGAUUGUGCUUUUUAUCAAAGUUACUUUUGAAGAGCAUACCAGCGCUUUCCUUUCACUGAAAAGGAGUAGGCAAUUUUACCCAGACUGGAGGUUAUGACAAAAGAAAUUAUAUGGUGGACGCAAGUGAAGCGACUGAAAAAAUUGAAGACACACACUUUCCUUUUACUCCAAGAUCUCAUUGCUGUUACUUCUUCUUCUUCUUCUUCUCCUUCUUCUACUACUACUACUACUACUACUACUGGAGAAGAAACUAAAUGGCUGGAGGUGGUGAAUUCCUACUUUGCUGUCCUCUUCUAUUACCACUUGCACCUUACCCCACUUCAUGAUUGACCAGAAUGGAAUGCUUGAUCUUCGGCUUUCUGUGAAGAGGUCAAACAGUCCAUUCGCUGUUAGCAUCCAUUGUGUGGAGGACAGGGAAUGUCGUCACUAAUGAUGUGCAAACAUCGUUUCCUUAACAGUGACCAGAUGUGGUCACCCUUUUGUUAGCCACACUUUUCUACAGCUCGUCUCUAUGACAGAACUGCAGCCCUAGAUCAACCAUUGGCCACAGCAAGGCGCCUGGCACCUAAAGUGCAGUAAGACACUUGCAACCCUUUGCCAGUCAUGCAAUGCGGUCAGUGGCUGUUCCACCAUAGAGUUCCAUAGAGAAUUUGAGGUGGGUAAGAGUGACGGCAUCCUCGGGUAAACUUUCGGUGUCAAUGAAAUUCAAUUGGCUGGGCUUUCAGGUCAGAGCCCAUAGAUAACUUCCAAAAAUUUCUGGCUUCGAGGUGUUACCGGGAGGCAUUGCCAGUUCGGGAUAGACUCUACAGGCAUAGUAAUACUGUCAACUGAACCUGCUCGAGAUAUGCAUGGAGCAGUGAAACUGUCCUGCAUGCACUGCAUUGUUGACUUGUGAAGUUACCUCGAACAGCUGCUAUCACAUGUACGAUGGAUCUGGUUAUUGGCCGACACCCUCGUGAAGAUAGCCACACUAUCUUUCUUUGUCAAGGAAGGGCAAGCAGUUUUCCUUUUUUGGCUGGUGGUUAUGACAAAAAAGGUUGUGUGCUGGACAUGACUGAAAGACUAAAGACAGACAAUUUCCUUUUCAGCCAAGCCCACAUUGGCUUGUUCAAGUUCCAUUUGGGAAGGAAAUUGAAGAUGGAGAGGGAGGUGCUACCUCCUCCCACCAGUAAAUUUGUAAAAAAGUGGGGGAAUGAACCGAGAAUGAUCCAGGUGAACGGACCUAAUCUAAGCAUUCACCCGUAGGUUGAACAGUACGAAAGAGAGAGAAGCACUUGCUAUAAUAACCCUGGUGAGCUGAAUGAUUCAGGACUCGUGGUGCUCUUUGGUUACCUUUGGAUGGUAAUUGGAAUUUUGUUGCUAUUUUUUUUAUCGUUUACACUUGUUUAUGAACACACCUACUGUCUUUUGUCACUGUAUCGUCAUAAUGUGUUUUUGCGACCUUUGAGGCCAACAAAAUAGUAGUAGUAGUAGUAGUUGUUUUCCUGCUGAUGGCAUUGUCCAGCUAGUAGAUUGGAGUAAGCGCCUAGCAACACUCCAGAUGCCAAACGUUUAACCUCGGUCUACGCUUGCCCCAUCCCCACCCCCAUGUGUGCAGGUCGGUCAAAGAGACAAACAGCAGAAAGACGUGUCGCUUAAAAGACAUCCAUAUCAGUUUGCCAUUGAUUACAAGAGCCCAAGACAUUGAGGUUAAUACAAGAACAAAAUAUAAGGCUAAAAUUGCAUCAAUCCAAGCCCUGAAAUCUUCCUGCAUCAAAAAAAGCGUGUUCAGUUUCCUGUAACCAUCUCCCAUUCUGUUAGUCCAUUUUAAGUUGAUUUAGGUCAUGAAUUUGUGGUCCGUGUAGCCAACUAUCUGAAACUGCAGAUAAAUUCUAGGAAAUCUGUAGUGACUUCCAGGUACAGGCCUUUCCGAAACAACACAACUGUGUAAUUCAGUUGAAUUCAACUGAAAGAGGUGUAGAUGUCAUAGCUGCCUAGAAAGGAAACGAGUAAUUUCAUCUCAGAUAUCCUAAUCUGGCUUAUAGUUACCACGUCCAAAUAUCCCUCAAAGCAUAUUAUACUGUUUACUGAAACACUAAGAAGACAACACCCCACUCCCAGUCAUUUGGGUCAUUGAUUUGCAUAAGAUUCGGCUUAUGAUUUAAUUACAAAAGCCACAACAUUUUCUGUACAUUUAUUUAGCUCCACUGAUUUGUAAUAUUCAUAGGUACAUUCACACAAGCAGCGCAUGCUCGCCAUCUUGUUACCGCCUUCUCUAUUCUUCAACUCUCCCCUCUUUGACUGUUAAAUAUGACUAGAACAGUACAAUAAUAAGCAGACUAUAUAUUCACGUUGAAUAUAAAUAGUGAGUGUCACAGCACAAGUGUUCCUGUCGUGAUUCAAAUAAGAAAUUCUUUGCAAUAACACCAACACUACUCUCAGUCCUUCAAAGUUUUCUUAGUUUCACAAACAACAAUCACAGAUUCCCAACUCUUUAUUGUCUAGAUGCUUCGACAAAAUAAUGUAAAGAUCAGAUAUAGACACUAAAUAAAAAUGCUUUCUCAUAUAGGCACCAAGUCACGUUUUUAGGGGAAGGGAACCAUUCGAUAAAUUGAUCCACUCUACUUUGUUUUUACCGUGUAGGGACGCAAGGCAGAGUUGAUCUCGGCGGUUUUGAACUCAGGGCACUUUGUGUUACACUCUAACAACUCUACCAAAUCACCGCCUCCCUCUCUUCCUCCUCCCACUACUACUACCACCACCAUAUUUUGUUAUGGAUAAUUUUUCCUUAAUUUCCUUUUCGUUGAUGUAAACCCCUCGUUGCUUAUAUUUCAUCCUUUGUAUGCGAUUGUCUUCAAUAUAUUGGACUCUUGUGCCUAAUAAAUGAAUUCGUUGUCGUUGAAGUUGCCACCGUUGCUAUCGUUGUUAUUGUCAAAGCCUACUGUGAAUAAUUUUCAGAAAUCCUUGGUCAGGUAUUGCUACUGAGUGGCACUACUGAUUUGAGAUAAACUCUACACAGAUAAGGAAGAACUGCUAUUCUGGACUGUCUGAGAUGCCUGCAGAGUGAUGAAACUGUAUUGCAUGCAGAUUGCUGACUUGUGAAGUCAUGCCAAACAGCUGCUGCAACGUGUAGGACGAAUGCACUUUUAAGAAAGUGAUGGAUGUGUGGUGAAUGGGAUUGAAAGGAUUGAGGAUAAGCACCCUCCUCUUUGCUCAAGCCCUCGUCGAUUUUCUCAGGUUCUAAUUAGAAAGGAAAAUGAGGAUGUAGAAGAAAGUACUCUUCCCAAGAAGAACUCUCUCUCUCCCUCCCUCCCUCCCUCUCUCUCUCUCUCUCUCUCUUUCUCCCACCGUUAUAGCGGUCAGUCACGAGCCUUACCCUUGCAAGUUACAAGGCAAUCACUCGUGCUGGGGCAAUGCAAAAGUACCCAGUAGUCUAUGUUAAGUGAUUGGCGUUAGGAAGGGCAUCAAGCCGUAUAAGGAAUACUAAAAGAGAUAUUGGUUCAUCUAAAUCAGACGCUGUCGAACUGUCCAACCCAUGCCACACACACACACACACACAGACAAGAGGUCAAUUCUGAAACGUCAGGUUCUUCUUAUUACACCUACCAUAAUCAGCAUUAUAAAACGAUUAUUGUUUCAUCUUAUUACUUUAUUUCUAUUUUUUUAUAUAGAGUCAAAGACUUUGAGAUGGUGAUCAAGUGUACGAAAGUGACAUGCAAAUCUUAAAUUGUUUCAUAAAAUGAAUUCAUUAUUCUUCAUACAGAAGCUGUGUCAUUGAACCUUGAUAGAAACAGUGCCAAUACAAGCUACAAAUCCAUUGUUCCAGCUGUAACAAACCGCUACCAACAUCUAAUUGAGGAUAAUACUGUCGUUGAAUACACCUCCCACAAACCAUCAAGCGUAACCUACAGGCUGACAGGAAUAGAAACAAAUUAAACAAAUAGAAGGUAGAAACAAG
rnacentral:lncRNA from 1 species